UACGAAGGGGGCUAGCGUUGCUCGGAAUUACUGGGCGUAAAGCGCACGUAGGCGGAUUGUUAAGUCGGGGGUGAAAUCCUGGAGCUCAACUCCAGAACUGCCUUCGAUACUGGCGAUCUCGAGUCCGGGAGAGGUGAGUGGAACUGCGAGUGUAGAGGUGAAAUUCGUAGAUAUUCGGAGGAACACCAGUGGCGAAGGCGGCUCACUGGCUCGAUACUGACGCUGAGGUGCGAAAGCGUGGGGAGGCAAACAGG
rnacentral:rRNA from 1 species